CGAGCCGUCUUGAGAUAUUGGAGCGGUUCAACCAGACAACAUUAUUAAAAAGAAUGUAAUUUUGUUGUUCGUUUGAGCCGUGCCAAUAUCGCACUAGACUUGCUUG
rnacentral:pre_miRNA from 1 species